rnacentral:misc_RNA from 1 species
CUCUUCCAAAACUUCAUGAAACACUGUAUUUUAAUUUGUCUUUCUCCUCCCAAUAACAACUUUUAGUAUCUUUUUUAUUCAACAAAUUCAAUUAAUAGCCAUAUAUCACUCUACAUUUUCCUAAUUUAAGAAUUUUUAUGUGAUAUAACAAAAUCAAAGCCACAAAUCAGUAUUAUACAACUGUAACACAAUAAUGUUAAAAAAUGACCAACAAUAUUUUCAAAACCAUGUCCACAAUUGCACAGACAAAAACUAACUCAUUGAAUCUCGCAAUUAAUGAGCAUUAGAUCCCCAAAUAUGUCACUCCAUGUUUGUCUUAUGUUUCCUAUUUGCAAAAAAACAAACAUUGUAUCUUCUUUUCUAGUGCUUUGCCAAUUUACAUGAUAUCAAGUCUCUCAUAAUAAGUUUUUGAAUCCCAAUGACAAGAUACUGUAUUGCUCUGUGCUCAUCUAGUCUAACUGAUAAGAGCAGAUCCAGACAUCUCAAUUCAAAUAAUUGCUAAUACAAGGAACUGGCCUAAUACAACUUUACAUUAUACUGUGAAUCCUUUGUCUAAUAGUUUGAAAUGAUUUUGUUAACAUAUAAUAGAUGAAUCUCCUACGGUUAGUAGUUUUUGACAGCAGUGCAUUUAUUGGUGCAUCAAUUAAGAUUGCACACAAUCCACUGCCAUUCACUUGAUCCGGCCUGAACCAAAUUUUGCUUUGCCACUGAGAUCCCAACAUAGCUCAUGAACUAUUCUCAAAUAGUAAUCAACUAAUGCAAUUAUAUUUUUCCCAUGUCCCAAACAGAAUACCCCUCCCAAACUUCUUGAUGGGGAAGUAGUUUUGUGUAGAAAUUUGACUUUCAAUUAAGAUCUUUAUGCAACAAUUCAAGUUGCACGAUAUCACUUCAGUGCUUUAUGUUCCUGUUUAGAAAAAAAUGUGAUACUAUAAAUCGCUUAAAGUUCUUGACAAGAAGGAAGGAUCACAAAUUAAAAAACUGUGAUUCCAACUCAAAAACGUCAAGGAAAGUUAGGUAUGGGAAACUGUGAUUACAACCCUAUUUUAAAAACCGGAAACUGCAAAAAAAUUCUGAAUCAUGCAGAGAAUAAAUACCAUAUUCACCAAACUGAUUUUCUAUAUUAAAUAAAAUAAAAGUUUAGACAAGUGAUGAUCACUGUAGACGUAGAGGGACAUUCUAGUUGGAGAACUAAACCAUGAGGCAACUGAAUGGUAAAUGCUGUAUGAAUUUCUUGAAUCUAAACAAGAUUAAUGCAGUAAAAUGCGGAGGUUUGAACCUAACAAAAUCCGAGUUCAUCAUUAAAGUUCCUGAGAUUUGGAAGGAGAUGCAACUAAGUGUAUUCCACUAGAAACUUAUAGGUGCACCAAAAGAUUACAAGUAUGGUCAAACAGAUUAGCUCCCUCAAAAUAUCAUGCCUUUUAACAGAAAAGACAGGGGAGGGGACGUCACAAAUUUGCUUAUUGUGCUAGUGAAAAACAUACAUUUACACAACAUUGUUCUUAGAAUCUUACGAUUUGAUUUGAUUUGAUUUCCCAUCCUAAUGAUUCAAACCUAUGGGGUGAAUCAUAAAUGUACCUGAAUCAUAACCGAAUCUUACGAUUUGAGGUGAAUCAAUAUAAAUUUACUGAUUUAGUCAUUUUUUUUGUUAGAUCCUAUAGCUUCAAAAUUUUAGAUUUCACUUUAUUUUUACUGUGAAAAGUGCACAUAAAACCAUCCCUUAGUUAUUUUUCUUCCACUAGCCAUCUUUUCCCUUUCCAUCUCCCUCUUCUUUCAUUUUUUUUUUCCUUUAAUGUACUUCUAUAAUUAUGGUUAUCAAAUUAUGACAUUUUAUAUUAACAUAAAGGUUGUCAAAAGCUAGGUGCACUUAAGGCGAGAAGGCCCUCCAUCAUCCGAGGCGCUAGGAGCUCAUCCAAGCGAAAUGAGGUGCUAAUUUAUUGUAAAAUAGUAAAUAACUAAAUAUACAAUGUAAAAAAGUCUAAUAUAUUACACAAUCAAUAAAUUGCCAAAUUUCAUAUUCAUAUUUCAUA